GAUGAACGCUAGCGGCAGGCCUAAUACAUGCAAGUCGAGGGGCAGCAGGAAUAGCAAUAUUUGCUGGCGACCGGCGCACGGGUGCGUAACACGUAUACAAUCUGCCUUCUACAGGGGGAUAGCCUUUCGAAAGAGAGAUUAAUACCCCAUAAUAAAUUGAAUAGCAUUAUUUGAUUUUGAAAGAUCCGUCGGUAGAAGAUGAGUAUGCGGGUGAUUAGCUAGUUGGUGAGGUAACGGCUCACCAAGGCAACGAUCACUAGGGGAUCUGAGAGGACUACCCCCCACACUGGUACUGAGACACGGACCAGACUCCUACGGGAGGCAGCAGUAAGGAAUAUUGGACAAUGGAGGCAACUCUGAUCCAGCCAUGCCGCGUGCAGGAUGAAGGCCCUAUGGGUCGUAAACUGCUUUUGUACGAGAGAAAACCUAUUUACGUGUAGAUAGUUGAUAGUAUCGUAAGAAUAAGGAUCGGCUAACUUCGUGCCAGCCGCCGCCGUAACAC
rnacentral:rRNA from 1 species